UUAUAAGUUUUGUUAUUCUUGUCUUACCUUUUAUCUACAUUAUCUUCUUUAUUCUUAUCUUAGCCAGUAUCUUUCAUUUUAGUGUUUCAAAUCCAUCUUCAGCUUCUUUUUUCAUAGAUUGCUAUCCCUUCCUUUCUCUGCUCUCCUGCAUCCCUCAAGCUGUUCAUUCUUCAGAUUUUUCAAUACUGCUGCAACUAUAUCCCCAUACAUAAAAUUUCCUGCAAAAUUAGACCCACAAUUAUUACAGCUUCACAUUUUCCUUGAUAUGCUUAAUGGCUUUAAAAACAUCAGAGGCAGCAAAAAUAAAGAUAACAUUUCAUGCUCGAUCUACAUUUGUUAUUUACAUUCAUCACUUUAGGAGGAAUGUAAGCAAAAUAGGUUGUGUUGUUUUAUGAUUGCAUUAGUUUGUUUUUAUAAUGCUCCACAAAGAAGUAUAGUUUUUUUUCUGAGUCUACAGUGGAAAACCUGGAAUGUAAGUCUGAAUUGUGUGUUACAGCUUUAAAUUUUACAAAAAGCUUUACUUUGCCAAGCCAUGUGUGGAGCAGCGAUUGGAGUGAACAACAGGGACUUUUGUGGAAAGAAUACAGCGAAAAUGAUGCUCUAAUGCAGAUCAGUGGUACGAAAUCAACAAAGAAGAAAGAAGAUACAUCAUGGUUAAAUCAGAUUACAGAUUUCCUUUUUGUAUAUCCGCUGAGAACACUGAAUUGAGAGCAUUCAAAUGUUUAUGGGCCAAUGUUUCCCCUUGAUAUACAUUACUGUAUUUCCUUGGAUUUGGAUGCAAUAACAGUAAUUUAUGCAGAAGAUGAAAACAAAACAAACUCCUGACACUGUACUUUUAAGAAGGUCACUGGUUUCUUUUAUAGGGCUAUCAAAUUCAGAAGUUGUUCCAAGUAUAUUUCAGGGAAACAGCCACCACAUCUCAUCCAACAAAACCUCCUGUUGGCACGAUAAAUGGGAACAUAGUAUAUUUUAUAACUGAAAGGUGGAAAUCAGUGACAGUUUUGCUGAAAUGCAGGAGAAAAAUCCUAAAGGUAGUAGCACAAAAUGCCCUUUUCCAAUUGAAAAAAGGCUCCAAUUUCAGUAGUACAAUGGUUUUCAAGGUCACAGUGUUGAAACUUUAUAAUUACUAGGUAUGAUAAAGUAACUUGCCACACAUACACACAUCAGCCAUUUCUAAUUUCUUUGAAGAUUAACUGAAAUAUUCAAAGUUACUUCAUAAGGGAGUGAAUCUUAUCCACUACAAUAUAUUGUUACAAUGCAGUCUGCUCCAAUGCUAAGUAUUUGGAGUUGGCAUUGACUUUCAAAAGCAGUUAAGAUCCAUUAGCUUUUCAAAACACCUACUCCAGGUGAAAAAGAACAUUGCUAGAACUAAUUUGCUGCUAUUGGAAAACAGCUGUCUGUAUUUGAGGGAUCUCCUUUGGGUUGUGGCUAAAGGGACAGUAUGAUAAGAGUCUGCACUGUAAUAUUUAACAAUACAUUUUUGAGAAUAAAAGAACAGUGGGUUGAAUUCUUCUUGAGGAUUGAAACCUACCCA